rnacentral:tRNA from 1 species
GCCGGAGUGGCGGAACGGCAGACGCAGCCGACUUAAAAUCGGCGGCCCCGCAAGGGCGUGGGGGUUCGACUCCCUCCUCCGGCACCG